UACGUAGGGUGCGAGCGUUAAUCGGAAUUACUGGGCGUAAAGCGUGCGCAGGCGGUUCGCUGUGUCUGCUGUGAAAACUCGAGGCUCAACCUCGAGACGCCGGUUGAAACCAUCAGGCUAGAGUCCGGAAGAGGAGAGUGGAAUUCCCGGUGUAGCGGUGAAAUGCGCAGAUAUCGGGAAGAACACCCGUGGCUAAGGCGGCUCUCUAGUACGGUACUGACGCUGAGACGCGAAAGCGUGGGGAGCGAACAGG
rnacentral:rRNA from 1 species